rnacentral:rRNA from 1 species
CCCUUAGAUGUUCUGGGCCGCACGCGCGCUACACUGAUGCAUUCAAUGAGUCCAACCUUGACCGAGAGGUCCGGGUAAUCUUUGAAACUGCAUCGUGAUGGGGCUAGAUUAUUGCAAUUAUUAAUCUUCAACGAGGAAUGCCUAGUAAGCGUGAUUCAUCAAAUCGCGUUGAUUACGUCCCUGCCCUUUGUACACACCGCCCGUCGCUCCUACCGAUUGAGUGUGUUGGUGAGGAGUUUGGAUUGGCCUCGGAAGGUGGUUCGCCACCGUCCGUAGCUGAGAAGUUCUCCAAACCGCCCCACUUAGAGGAAGGAGAAGUCGUAACA